rnacentral:sRNA from 1 species
CGCAUAGACGCUCAACCCAUUAAUGCCCAUAAUAUUUUGAUUUGUUUUCCCAUUUUGACGUCUUCGCUGGUGUGGGAGAUGGCGAAAAAUAGAGAGAAAAGAAAGAAAAACAUUUAGGCAUUGUAUUAAGUUUAGUACACCAUUGGCGGGGAUUUCCGAAAUCUCAUUAAGCGGUUGCGGCAUAAAUAUUUACUCGGUUUGAGGCUAAAUCGGGACGUUUUCAAGAUUUAUUACUCCUGCAUUCAGCUUUGAGUACACGUGUGGAGCUCUCUGCGUCGUGGUUUCAAAGUAUCAUUUCAAACAUUUAUUUAUCGAUCGUUUUUGGCUCGGAACAACAGUUGGGAUCCAUUGAAGGUUCCUUAAAAUCAAUGUGGGAAACUCGAUCCUACCACAUUAGAUGGUCUCAGAAGUCUGCCUGCAGGCUUCCAUUUUCUGUUUAGAAGAUCACCCUAAAUCUUUGGUCGGCGUCUGGAAGUCUCUGGAAGUCAUGCCCUAUGCCAAGAAUAGGAUGCUCGAAUGCCUUUCCGGUGUGAAUUCAUUCUCUGAAAUUCCUCAAUCAGCAACUUUCACCUCGAGUGAGUGAGUAAUUCCGGCGGGUUCCUUUCCGCAUCGGCUUUCAGCAUCCAGUGCUAUAGCACGCCACACGACGAAUGAGUAAUCUAGCAUUAAUUUCAAACAAUUGCCACACAAACAUGGAAUCGGCCAAAGGUAUUGAGUACGAUUUUCAAGAAAAAUCCGUAAAAAGUAAAUAAACCAGAGCGGAUAUCAUGCUA